GCCGGUCCUCGGUAGUGGUUCCCGGGCAACGGACCCGGGGGCUUCGAUCGAAGACCGGC
rfam:Streptomyces sp. AA4 genomic scaffold supercont1.1, whole genome shotgun sequence.